rnacentral:rRNA from 1 species
GAUGAACGCUGGCGGCGUGCCUAAUACAUGCAAGUCGAGCGAACAGAUGAGGAGCUUGCUCCUCUGACGUUAGCGGCGGACGGGUGAGUAACACGUGGAUAACCUACCUAUAAGACUGGGAUAACUUCGGGAAACCGGAGCUAAUACCGGAUAAUAUAUUGAACCGCAUGGUUCAAUAGUGAAAGACGGUUUUGCUGUCACUUAUAGAUGGAUCCGCGCCGCAUUAGCUAGUUGGUAAGGUAACGGCUUACCAAGGCAACGAUGCGUAGCCGACCUGAGAGGGUGAUCCGCCACACUGGAACUGAGACACGGUCCAGACUCCUACGGGAGGCAGCAGUAGGGAAUCUUCCGCAAUGGGCGAAAGCCUGACGGAGCAACGCCGCGUGAGUGAUGAAGGUCUUCGGAUCGUAAAACUCUUUUAUUAGGGAAGAAAAAAUGUGUAAGUAACUAUGCCCGUCUUGACGGUACCUAAUCAGAAAGCCACGGCUAACUACGUG